AGCUCCAAUAGCGUAUAUUAAAGUUGUUGCAGUUAAAAAGCUCGUAGUUGGAUUUCUGGUUGAAACGACCGGUCCGCUUGUGACUUGUUUACGAGUGCGUACUUGUGUUGUUUUGUCCAUUUUUUGUGAGGAUGUCUUUCUGCCAUUAAGUUGGUGGGUUGAUGGACUUGCAUCGUUUACUGUGAAAAAAUUAGAGUGUUUAAAGCAGGCGUUUGCCUAUUUUUGAAUACAUUAGCAUGGAAUAAUAAGAUACGACCUUGGUGGUCUAUUUUGUUGGUUUGCACACCAGGGUAAUGAUUAAUAGGGACAGUUGGGGGUAUUCAUAUUUCAGCGUCAGAGGUGAAAUUCUUGGAUCGCUGAAAGAUGAGCUUAGGCGAAAGCAUUUACCAAGGAUGUUUUCAUUA
rnacentral:rRNA from 1 species